UACGUAGGAGGCGAGCGUUGUCCGGAGUUACUGGGCGUAAAGCGUGCGCAGGCGGUUUCUUAAGUCAGAUGUGAAAGCCCCGGGCUUAACCUGGGAACUGCGUUUGAAACUGGGAGACUCGAGUGUGGCAGAGGGGGGUGGAAUUCCACGUGUAGCAGUGAAAUGCGUAGAUAUGUGGAGGAACACCGAUGGCGAAGGCAGCCCCCUGGGUUAACACUGACGCUCAUGCACGAAAGCGUGGGGAGCAAACAGG
rnacentral:rRNA from 1 species